AUUGUUGAACUAGAAGAUGCAUUAUAUUAUAACCCAGCAGAGACUUAAAAAGUCGACAUUCAUUUUGGCCCAGCGGUUGCUGUAAACACAGUACAACUACAGCAAGAGCAAGAGCUGGGGCCUGGCGGGAACAUAACAGUUUGCGUAUUUUCCACCUUCAUUAUCAAGCUACUGUGACAGCAAGUCAAAGAUUUUCAAAGCCAUCCCAGCCACUGUCCUGUCUCCCAACAAGUGCCAAGAGGCACUGAUUCAAUACUUCGCUGCCGCAGCCUAUAGGUGAAUGUUCUAGGUGAGAUUGGAGGGAUGAACACUGAUGAAUAUGUGAAGUGAGUAAUGAAGUUCAUAAUAAGUGACACACUGACCACAAAACUGAACAUGUCUUGAAGGAACAACAAGAAGGCAUUUGGCUCCACAAACUUAUU